rnacentral:rRNA from 1 species
ACUACACUCCUGCGGGAGGCAGCAGUGGGGAAUAUUGCACAAUGGGCGCAAGCCUGAUGCAGCCAUGCCGCGUGUAUGAAGAAGGCCUUCGGGUUGUAAAGUACUUUCAGCGGGGAGGAAGGCGAUAAGGUUAAUAACCUUGUCGAUUGACGUUACCCGCAGAAGAAGCACCGGCUAACUCCGUGCCAGCAGCCGCGGUAAUACGGAGGGUGCAAGCGUUAAUCGGAAUUACUGGGCGUAAAGCGCACGCAGGCGGUCUGUCAAGUCGGAUGUGAAAUCCCCGGGCUCAACCUGGGAACUGCAUUCGAAACUGGCAGGCUAGAGUCUUGUAGAGGGGGGUAGAAUUCCAGGUGUAGCGGUGAAAUGCGUAGAGAUCUGGAGGAAUACCGGUGGCGAAGGCGGCCCCCUGGACAAAGACUGACGCUCAGGUGCGAAAGCGUGGGGAGCAAACAGGAUUAGAAACCCCAGUAGUCCCAUG